rnacentral:tRNA from 1 species
GCCUGGGUGGCUUAGUGGGUUAAGCUUCUGACUUGGACUCAAGUCAUAAUCUCUCAGUUUGUGGGUUCGACCCCCUCAUCGGGCU